GUGAGGAAUAUUGCGCAAUGGAGGCAACUCUGACGCAGCCAUGCCGCGUGCAGGAAGAAGGCGCUACGCGUUGUAAACUGCUUUUAACCGGGAAGAAACCCCAGGACGUGUCCUGGGUUGACGGUACCGGAGGAAUAAGCACCGGCUAACUUCGUGCCAGCAGCCGCGGUAAUACGAAGGGUGCAAGCGUUAUCCGGAUUCAUUGGGUUUAAAGGGUGCGUAGGCGGAGCGUUAAGUCAGUGGUGAAAUCCUGCAGCUUAACUGUAGACUUGCCAUUGAUACUGGCGCUCUUGAGUGCGCUUGAAGUGGGCGGAAUGUGCAGUGUAGCGGUGAAAUGCUUAGAUAUGGCACAGAACACCAAUUGCGAAGGCAGCUCACUAAGGCGAUACUGACGCUGAGGCACGAAAGCGUGGGGAUCGAACAGGAUUAGAUACCCUGGUAGUCC
rnacentral:rRNA from 1 species